UUCCGUAGGUGAACCUGCGAAGAUCAUUAAUAAAUGUCUAGUUUUAAGUAGACACUUAAUAAUCCUACCCUUUGUGAAUUGUUGUUUUGAAAUAAUUUUUUUUAAAAUAUUGGUUGUCUUUCCCUGUUGAAUAGAAUGUUUCGAACAUGAAUACGCAGGGAGUGUCAGUAAUUUUUAAAAGACCUUUUUAAAUUAAACUUUUGUAUUCAUUUGUCUAAAAUUAUUUUAUAAUAUAAAAACAACUUUUGACAAUGGAUCUCUUGGUUCUCGCAACGAUGAAGAACGCAGCAAAUGCGAUAAGUAGUGUGAAUUGCAGAAUACGUGAAUCAUCGAAUCUUCGAACGCAUAUUGCACUUUUUUAGUUUUACUUAAAAAGAGUAUGUCUGUUUGAGUAUCAGUAAAAUAUUCUCAUAAAAACUAUUGUUUUUAUGGUUAUGAGUGUUUACAACGAUACAAGUUGUUUCACUUUAAAUUUUUUUAAAUUUGAAUUUUCUAAUUUUAAAAUAAAAUUGGAUAAAAUUUUCCCGUAAAAAGGAAUAACUAAACAAUUUAGUUUUUUGAUUAGAAUUUUCAUUAUAAGGAAAAUUUAAUAAAGAACUUGAUCUCAAAUCAGAUAAGAGUACCGCUGAACAUAAGCAUAUCAAUAAGCGGAGGAAAAGAACUAACAAGGAUUCCUUAGUAACGGCGAGUGAAGCGGAAAGCUCAAAUUGAAAUCUUCAAGGUUUUACCUUGACGAAUUGUAGUUUAAAGAAGUGUUUUCUGUUGAAGUUUGGUAAAAGUUCUUGGAAUAGGACAUCAUAGAGGGUGAGAAUCCGUAUUUGACCAUUAUUUUCAGCUGUGUGAUACACUUUCAAAGAGUCGGAUUGUUUGGGAAUGCAGUCCAAAAUGGUGGUAAAUUCAUCUAAAGCUAAAUAUUGGCGAGAGACCGAUAGCGAACAAGUACGUGAGGGAAAGAUGAAAAGAACUCUGAAAGAGAGUUAAACAGUACGUGAAUUGUCAAAAGGGAAGCGUUUGACACCAGUGUUGUUUUCUCGAAAUCAAUUAAAAAGAGUUGGAUUUUGUGUUGUAUGACUUAAAGCUUGCUUCACUCUUUUCCUGCUUUUUUAAUGCACUUUUCGUUUAACAAGUCAACAUCAGUUCUUUUGUUGUAAAAGGUCAUUGGAAGUGGCUUUCUCUUCGGAGAAAGUGUUUAUAGCCUUGAUCUCUGCAAUCGAGAGACUGAGGUCUGCAGCGUAGAUCUUCGGGUUAGAUACAUUUGUGCUAAGCUACAGCUUUUCAUAGACAACUGUUGACUAUGUUUAGUCUGUAACUUACCCGUUAUGCUAUUUACUACGCUUAGGAUGUUG
rnacentral:misc_RNA from 1 species